GGUGAGAUGGCCGAGUGGUUAUGGCGCUGCGUUCAGGUACCUGAGCAAAUUUCGCAGUGGAGCAAUCCGCGUGGGUUCGAGUCCCACUCUCAUCA